CUGUGUUUUUCCAAUGGGUAAUUUUUAUAGAACCCCCUUGAUCUAGUGUUAGACUGUUCUGUUUGUCUUUAGUAAGGUUCUAAGGGAACUCUAGUAGAAGAAAGUUGUCAUAGAAUAAUAAGGAUAAGAAGAAUGGCCACCCCAUUAUCAACCGUUAACCACAAUACCUACAACAUGUAUAAUAUACAUGGUGAUUGUCAAGCUGUACAGAUUGGAACAUCAAACACAUUCACUGAAACUAGUAACCAGAGCGACCCGGAUGAUCGCACUUCCGAUAUGGAAGAUUUCCAGACCGACAAUGAGGAACAAUUUGAACGAAAAGAUGAAGAAAUAGCUGAAUUGAAAAAUAGGGUUGCUGACCUGGAAGAAUUUAAGAAGAAAGUAGAACAAUCAGAAGUCAAGACAAACACCAACACUAAUACUAGACGUUAUAUCAGGGAUACGAGUAAUGAUAUUACUCUAGAGUUGGUAGACAGAUGGGAAGAUAUGGGUACUAUAACUGUCAGUAAGAAAGUCAGUGUUAAUGAUUUAAUGAAGUUGAUAGAAGAGAAGAAGUAUAGGAAGAUUAGUCUGAUUUGUAUAGUAGGAUAUAGAGAUGGUAGUAGGACAUCUAUCUACUACAGUAGCAACCAGAACGACUGUAGCCUGGAACAAUUUGGUGUUGUAGACCAGGACGAGGUUUACUAUUUAUAGUAAAAUAUAGUGAUUAUAUUGAUAUGAUGUAUUUAUGGCCUCCUUUAUAUUGAACAAUGAGGUGUUGAGGGGGGGGGGGGAGAUAUUACUUAUAGUAAAAUAUAAUGGACGAACCAGAACGAGGUUAGGUAUUAUUAUCUUAUUGUCUCUUGAUUAGGUUGUGAGGGUGGAAUAAAGUAAAAUGUUUGAGUGGUGUUGUGGGUGAUGUGGUGUGGUGGUGUGGGUGCUAAGUUAGUGAAGAGAUUUAUCAACCACACCAGCACCCUAGUAUUUAACCAAGUAUCUUAUACCCCCUUCCCCCCCAACCCCCAUGAUUGAUAUAUUGAAUCUUACUCUAAGUAAUAUCUUACCUGUCCCACCUGUUCCACCUGAUUGAUAUAUUGAAUCUUACUCUAAGUAAUAUCUUACCUGUCUCACCUGUCCCACCUGAUUGAUAUAUUGAAUCUUACUCUAAGUAAUAUCUAACAUCCUAAUAUAAAACUCGCUUACUACUGUAAAUAAAGCUGUAAUUCAAUAGUCACGAUUAUCAGGUGAUAUGUAGUCGUGAUCAUGUGAUAACUAACUGACAUGUAUAUAAUAUAUAAUUAUAUUAGUGAAACAAUGUUUUAUAUUUUGUAUUCUAAUUUUGUUUCAAUAAAAUAUUUUAUAACUAAA